UGUCCAGUAGCACCUUAGAGACCAACUAAGUUUGUUCUUGGUAGAAGUGUGCAUGUACACGAAAGCUCAUACAAGGAACGAACUUAGUUGGUCUCUAAGGUGCUACUGGACA